GUUGACGAACAACUUGCAGAGGUGACGCCAAAUGCAGUCGUGAAACGAAAAGAAAAAGUCAGGCUGUCGCUCCGCAAGUAGAUAAAAGGAGUGCGGAACCGGGUGAACGCUCCCCCCUUUGGAUCUUCGCGCGGUGGUUGCGCCUAUCCGGAGCCUGCGCAGUCGCGUCUUCCCAACCGUAGCCUUGGCCGCCUAGACCCCCUCCGCGUCGUCCCACGCCGCUCCCCUCCCCCACUGUCGCGAAGCUCCCGCCCGAGCGGACCACGUGCCGCGAACCGGGCGGGGAGAGACCACUCUUGCACCCCUUCCGGCCUCCUCGAACUCUCCAGGCUGCAGCCCAAGAUAAGAAAACUGAGGCUCCCAGAGGCAAAAUCACUUGUGCCAAGUCUCACCAGAGAGAGCAGAAGAGGCAGAGGGAGAAGCAGGCUCCCCCUCUGGGCAGGGAGCUCGAUGCAGGACCCUGGGAUCAUGACCCGACCUGAAGGCAGACGCUUCACCAACUGAGCCACCCAGGCGUCCCUGCCUUGUUCGUGCUGCCCAUGUUGAACCUGGCACACAUCUAGACAGAGAGAGAGAGAACAGCAGAGGGAGAGGCAGGUGGAGGGAGAAGCAGGCUCACCGCGGAACAAGGAGCCCGAAUCGGAAUUUGAUUUCAGGCCCCUGGGAUCAUGACCCGAAACGAAGACAGACGCCUCAACGACGGAGCCACCCAGGUAUCGCCACAUAGAGAAUUUUUAAGUUAUUUCUCCAAAUAUUUCAAAGACAUUGUUUGAAGGAGAACUUGAAAAGAUUAAAGUGACUUUUUUGAAGAUGAUCCCCUAAUCAGCAAUAAUUUGGCCAAUUUAACACCCGGUUCGAAGUAAGGAUUCGUGUGGCUGAAUUCAGCCGGUCAGUCUGUGUGUGUAAACACAGACAACGUUCGAGAAACUUGAUACGGUUCAGGCUGAGGACUCAUGGCGGUGAUGAAGCCAAAGUAACGGGAUAAUCACAUGGGGAUGAGACGCUGUUCCAGAACCGCUGAGAAUCACACCAUGCAUACGUGUGUCCAUGCACGUGCACACAGUGGUGGCAUGAAUAAUACUCCUGUGUGAACACCUGCAGUAUCCUCGAAUUAGCAACGUUAAAACUUCUUAUAUUCGAUGCAACGAUGCUUCAAUUAGGCAAGAUGUAUUCUGUUAUCAAAGUAUUUGUUUUCAGAUCAGUUGAUGUGAAAUAAUAAUUUAUUUUUUCUUUUCUUUACGUAUAUUCACUUUGGCUGGACUGUGACACCUUUGGAAUGGAAUUUUUAGAAGGCAGCUGUGCGAAUUUGAUAGGUAAUCACUAACAAAAGAAUGGUUUUGAUUAGUCCCAUAAUGAACCAUUAUCAUUAGCUUCUUUCAGCAGGCUUACAAAUACAAAUAUGCCGAUACAUAUUACAUGGGUACUAAAUGUGUGUACAUUUUAAUUUUAAUGCUAAUUCAUAUUUUUAUACAGACUCAAUACACGUUACUAUUCAAGGUUGAUUAAGUACAAGAGGGUUGAAAUGCAGCCAAUAAAACAAGAUUAGAAAGAGAUUAGAAACAAAUUUUAAUUAGAAAAUCACCACCUCAAAUCCUUUUAGGAAGUAGGCAGACAUAAAUAAUAAAGAGAACCAUUUAGAGACUUCUGGACAAGCAGCCCUGGGCUGGAAAUCUGGAGGGCUGCAUUCUGGUCACACCUCUAAUGCUGGCUUUUUCUAGUGACCUUUAGUAAUUGUUUGCUAGAUCUUUCAGAAGCUGGGAACAUCUUAGGUGAUCAGUAAGUGCCUCUGAAUUUCAUUAAUCCCAGGAGAGAGAAUCUCGGGUCUUUGUUUUCCUUACAGGACAAUUUUUGAGGCCAUUUCGAGGAGGUCCUGGGACCAGUUUGAAAAAGACCAAGUCUCCUGGCUCUGAUCUUUGGAGACUUCGGAUAUUCUGGAUCAAGGCUAGAUUCUAUGGCCUUGUAAAAACACUGGAAAUAUUUUCUCUUUUUAGUGUACAAACCUUAAUGUUAAAGAUAUUAAAAAACGUUACAUAAUCUAUACCUUGUCACAAACUUCUCUGCAAGUUACCAUGAAACUGGGUUUUUUUUUACCCUUUGAGCUUCAGUGGAAGUGUCCCAGAAGACAUGAGACUCACUCUGGUUUUUAUCACCAGGGAAUUGUCUCCUCGAGGGUCACUCUGCCUGCAUUCAAAUGCCUUUGGGAACUUACAAGGGUUCCCCUGUCCUUCAGGACUUCUGCUGGCUUUGUUUGGAAACGCCCUUUGUGCCUGAUGUCUGCUGCCCCGUCACCCUGAGAGAAGGAAGGAGCAUCAGCUGAUUAAACACACCACACUUGUUAGAACUGUUUCACAAAGCCGUAUGGUGUCACCAAGCCUCCAGGAACAACACAGAUUUCAUGAUGUAGAAGGAAUAACUUAUUCAAGAGAGCCCUGGUAUAGCUAAUGUAAUGAGCUGAGGAUUUCUCUAGAGAUCUGCUGCCUGUUUGAUGACAACAGGAAACAUUUUUCUGAACAAGGAGGUUUAAAACCUCCAGUGGAAGCAUGCUAUUAAGUUAUAAGAUUUUUACUUCUCUCUUCGUUGCUCAAUCAGCCGUGGCUGUGGCUGGUUUUUUUUUUUUUUUUUUUUUGGUGCAGUGAAACCUGCCUCUGAAACAUUCUCCCAGGUCAGGCCUUCUGCUUUAGGUCCCUGUGGGGACGCUCCAAGGUUUAAAACAAUUCUCAAACUUAUUCAGGGAGUAGAACUAUUGGAAAUCACAGAGAUUUUUUUCUGAGUGUGAUGAAGAAACACUGGCUUACUGAGCCAAAAAUAACCAAUCAGAAAAGUCAAUAUACAUCAAAUAGAAUCUUUGAAUAAACGCUGAGAUAUAUAUUGUUGGUAUCAGCAGCAAAACUUAAGAAACAUUUAGAAUAUAAAAGAUUAUCACUGACAAAUUUCUCUUCAUGAUUUCAGAAAAAUUUCUCUAGUUGCCUAGGAAAAGGCUGCCAUUUUUCAGUUUGAUUGUUUGAAUACUCAGUCUGACUUUCGGAAAUAUCCGUGCUCCAACGGGGUGUAAUUUCACAGUUACUGGUACAAAACUGUAUCAGCUGCAGAGUGCUCCAGAAGGAGUUCCAAUAGAAUUGAUGACAGCAUGUGAUUAUGACCUUGAAUGUAGUAGUCGGAGUUUACUCUAAUGGCUCAUUGACAGUUGAGGCACAGGGAAAUCUAGUGUUACAUUCAUUACGUUUGAUUUCAUUCAUGGCUUAAGGGAGAAGGGAUUCGCAUUUAGACCCGAGACACUCUCUCCAGAGUCACUGCACAGUGAGUGAGAACUGGCCUGUCAGCGUGUGCUCGUGUCCUGCCUACGCCAUGCUGAGAGAACGGCAUCACUGCUAAGUGGAACGGGAGAGAGGAUCACUAAGGCUGUAGCCUCAGAAGCAAUAUAUACCGACACCGGAGGGGAAAGGGCUAUUUAUUUAGAAAAGCUCACCAUCAAAUCACUGGACAGGAGAAACAACUCAUGGAGAAAAUCAACACUUAUUACAAUCAAAAGGGAAUCCAUUGUCAUUUGCUGAUUUCUCUAGGCACUCGCAAUGUGAUGUCGCCACCACUCCCUCACACGUCGUCUACCGGAUAAACAGCCAUGAUUGCGAAAAAUCCAUCUUUUUGCUGUUGUGGUUGACCCCUCUUUCCACGGUUUUCUGAAUUCUAUUUAAGCCUGAUACAGUGUAUCUGAUGUUAGCACGUACCCAAUUUAGCAUUAAUUCCUCUCGAUGGAAACAUGAGCCGUAUGUGUACGUUAAUAAUAGCAGCACUACGCAUUUGAUCAUUUUGGAGCAGACGGAUUAUUUUGUUUUUUCAUCUCCAAGAGGGAGUUCUGAGAGUUUGUAUUCAUUUUUGAAGCAUCAGCAGCUUUCCGUACAGAGGCCACACAAGGUUCCUAAUCUUAUUUAAUUUCUCAACUGGUCUGACUCUGAUUAGAGGUUCAAAUAAAAUUGUGAUUCUUCUAUGCCUUGAUUAUGUUAAAGUAUUUCUGUCUCUCUCCUGACACAGCAGCAAUUGCGUGUAAAUUAACUGUUACAAAGUUGUAGCAGAAGAGCUCGUAUCCUUUGAGGUGGCUAUAUUACUAGAUUUCCAGAUGGCUGAGAUUUUUUUUUUAAUAUACUCAACCUCACUUCAUAAAAACAUUUUCACAAGGGUACAGAAAUCCGACGGAGAUGCGCAUCUUUCCAAGCGUGCUCAUAGGCACGUGAACAGCUUCGAUGUGGGGGCAGCAGGGGGCGUGUAGAACACAAUGAGUUAAAAAAAAAAAAAAGUUGCACAUAGAGUAAUUUUAAUCCAUUCCAUUUUUAAAUACCACAAUAAAUUUAAUUUUCACAAUAAAUUAAAUAGCCAUAUUCAGUUUACAAAAUAGAAUUACUUAGUGUGAAACCAGUAUUUACAACAAUAUACAUUAUGUACAUGACAUUUCUCUUUGUCGACAUAGAACAUGGAAGUAAAAGGACUUUAACUUUCCAAUGUGUGAUUGACAUGCUACAAGUGACACCAUGGUCUAUACGAGAAAACAAUAGUGCAAAAUCACCACAGGAACUUUGGGACAAUGUCAAUUUUAUGAGAUACGACAUCUUUCAAAUAAUAAGAAAAUAGUAUUUUCUGUUUUCACGGCACCAAUUCAGUGGCUGAAUUAAAGAGCCAGCUUUCCCUUAGAAAAGAAUGCAUAACUGAAUCCUCUACUGUCCUGAAGCUUCUCAGCCAUUGGUACGUUUUCACACAUAAUCUUUUGGCUUAACUCUAUGAAAAUGGCGGGCGACAAAUUCUGACUCAAAGGAAGACUACACUCUUUGAGAAUAGCUGAAGUCACUUUCCCCCAAUACCACCACCUUUUCUUUUUGUAAAUAGCUU